rnacentral:tRNA from 1 species
GCGCCUGUAGCUCAGCUGGAUAGAGCGCUGCCCUCCGGAGGCAGAGGUCAGGGGUUCGAAUCCCUUCAGGCGCG